rnacentral:rRNA from 1 species
UACGAAGGGGGCUAGCGUUGUUCGGAAUUACUGGGCGUAAAGCGUAUGCAGGCGGAUCGUUAAGUCGGGGGUGAAAUCCCGAGGCUCAACCUCGGAACUGCCUUCGAUACUGGCGAUCUUCGAGUCCGGGAGAGGUGAGUGGAACUCCGAGUGUAGAGGUGAAAUUCGUAGAUAUUCGGAAGAAACACAGUGGCGAAGGCGGCUCACUGGCCCGGUACUGACGCUGAGAUACGAAAGCGUGGGGAGCAAACAGGG